GCUCUUGUAGCGCAGUUGGUUAGCGCGUUGGUCUUAUGUACCGAAGGUCGUGGGUUCAAUCCCCAUCUGGAGCA
rfam:Spironucleus salmonicida unplaced genomic scaffold scf7180000020607, whole genome shotgun sequence.